UUCAGAUACGGUGAUUUAACACCGACAGGAGUGUAUGGUAAGCUGGUCGGAUCUGUGUGUGCACUAAUCGGGGUCCUUACGCUCGCUUUGCCAGUGCCUAUUAUUGUAAGUAAA
rfam:Ascaris suum AG00188, whole genome shotgun sequence.